rnacentral:rRNA from 1 species
GGGACUAAGCCAUGCGAGUCAACAUAGCAAUAUGUGGCAUACGGCUCAGUAACACGUAGUCAACAUGCCCAGGGGACGUGGAUAACCUCGGGAAACUGAGGAUAAACCGCGAUAGGUCAUCACUUCUGGAAUGGGUAAUGACUUAAACCUAUAUGGCCCCUGGAUUGGACUGCGGCCGAUCAGGCUGUUGGUGAGGUAAUGGCCCACCAAACCUGUAACCGGUACGGGCUCUGAGAGGAGGAGCCCGGAGAUGGGCACUGAGACAAGGGCCCAGGCCCUAUGGGGCGCAGCAGGCGCGAAACCUCUGCAAUAGGCGAAAGCUUGACAGGGUUACUCUGAGUGAUUUCCGUUAAGGAGAUCUUUUGGCACCUCUAAAAAUGGUGCAGAAUAAGGGGUGGGCAAGUCUGGUGUCAGCCGCCGCGGUAAUACCAGCACCCCGAGUGGUCGGGACGUUUAUUGGGCCUAAAGCAUCCGUAGCCGGUUCUACAAGUCUUCCGUUAAAUCCACCUGCUUAACAGAUGGGCCGCGGAAGAUACUAUAGAGCUAGGAGGCGGGAGAGGCAAGCGGUACUCGAUGGGUAGGGGUAAAAUCCGUUGAUCCAUUGAAGACCACCAGUGGCGAAGGCGGCUUGCCAGAACGCGCUCGACGGUGAGGGAUGAAAGCUGGGGGAGCAAACCGGAUUAGAUACCCGGGUAGUCCCAGCUGUAAACGAUGCAGACUCGGUGAUGAGUUGGCUUAUUGCUAACUCAGUGCCGCAGGGAAGCCGUUAAGUUUGCCGCCUGGGGAGUACGGUCGCAAGACUGAAACUUAAAGGAAUUGGCGGGGGAGCACCACAAGGGGUGAAGCCUGCGGUUCAAUUGGAGUCAACGCCGGAAAUCUUACCGGGGGCGACAGCAGAGUGAAGGUCAAGCUGAAGACUUUACCAGACAAGCUGAGAGGA